UCUAUGUUUUUACUACUGUGAAUGGUGCUGCAACAAACAGUUCUUCCCCCAAAUUACAAGGAAUGGAGGCUGGGAAACUACAUUUCUGAGACUCCUUCAUCAUCAGGAUGCCAGAUAAUAUUUUAAUCUGAAGAGAUAGGGGGAAACAGAGACUCUCACAAGAGAUUAGCUCACUGGAGCAAAGCUGCCAGAAGCAUAAACUGAUAGGAACAGCUUCUUUCCUAGAAUGAAGAAACACUGUCUCAAGGUAGAACAUCCAGUCUGCAACCAUGAAGACAAAACCAACACAAUAAAGAUCAAAAGCAGGAAACCAGAAAG
rnacentral:lncRNA from 1 species